rnacentral:sRNA from 1 species
UUUUUUUGGUGGUGUGGCUGAUUGAGAACCCGCGGAGCGGGGUCGAGUCGAGCGCUAGCGACACAUUGCCGCAGGUUUUUCGUGGCAACCCGAAGGGUGAGGAGUGGAACGACGAAUCAACCCGUCACUUAUAAAC